CCUACGGGUGGCAGCAGUGGGGGAUAUUGCACAAUGGGGGGAACCCUGAUGCAGCGACGCCGCGUGGGUGAAGGAGUGCUUCGGCAUGUAAAGCCCUAUCGGCAGGGAAGAAGCAAGACGGUACCUGACUAAGAAGCCCCGGCUAACUACGUGCCAGCAGCCGCGGUAAUACGUAGGGGGCGAGCGUUAUCCGGAUUCACUGGGUGUAAAGGGAGCGUAGACGGCGAAGAAAGUCUGAAGUGAAAGCCCGCGGCUUAACCGCGGAACUGCUUUGGAAACUUUUUUGCUGGAGUACCGGAGAGGUAAGCGGAAUUCCUAGUGUAGCGGUGAAAUGCGUAGAUAUUAGGAGGAACACCAGUGGCGAAGGCGGCUUACUGGACGGUAACUGACGUUGAGGCUCGAAAGCGUGGGGAGCAAACAGGAUUAGAUACCCGUGUAGUC
rnacentral:rRNA from 1 species